GUCUAUGGCCAUACCACCCUGAACGCGCCCGAUUCCCUCUGAUCUCGGAAGCUAAGCAGGGUCGGGCCCGGUUAGUACUUGCAUGGGAGAACGCCCCGGAAUACCGGGUGCCCUAGGGC
ensembl:rRNA 5S_rRNA 5S ribosomal RNA